GCGCGAAAACUUUACAAUGCGGGCAACCGCGAUAAGGGGACCUCGAGUGCUGGGUUACAAACCUGGCUGUUGGGCUGCCUAAAAAGCAGUCUAUAGCAAGGGCCGGGCAAGACCGGUGCCAGCCGCCGCGGUAACACCGGCGGCUCGAGUGGUAACCGCUAUUAUUGGGUCUAAAGGGUCUGUAGCCGGCCGACUAAGUCUCUUGGGAAAUCUGGCAUCUCAAGUGUCAGGCUGCCAGGGGAUACUGGUCGGCUUGGGACCGGGAGAGGUGAGAGGUACCUCGGGGGUAGGGGUGAAAUCUUGUAAUCCUCGAGGGACCACCAGUGGCGAAGGCGUCUCACCAGAACGGAUCCGACGGCAAGGGACGAAAGCUAGGGGCACGAACCGGAUUAGAUACCCGGGUAGUCCUAGCCGUAAACGAUACUCGCUAGGUGUCGGCCACGGUGCGACCGUGGUCGGUGCCGUAGGGAAGCCGUGAAGCGAGCCACCUGGGAAGUACGGCCGCAAGGCUGAAACUUAAAGGAGUUGGCGGGGGAGCACCACAACGGGUGGAGCCUGCGGUUUAAUUGGAUUCAACGCCGGAAAGCUUACCGGGGGCGACAGCAACAUGAAGGUCAGGCUGAAGACCUUACCGGAUUCGCU
rnacentral:rRNA from 1 species